rnacentral:rRNA from 1 species
UGGGGAAUCUUGGACAAUGGGCGCAAGCCUGAUCCAGCCAUGCCGCGUGGAUGAUGAAGGCCCUAGGGUUGUAAAAUCCUUUCGUUGGGGACGAUAAUGACGGUACCCAAAGAAGAAGCUCCGGCUAACUUCGUGCCAGCAGCCGCGGUAAUACGAACCGAGCGAACGUUGUUCGGAAUCACUGGGCUUAAAGGGCGCGUAGGCGGGUUUGCAAGUCCGUGGUGAAAUACCUCAGCUCAACUGAGGAACUGCCUCGGAUACUGCGAGUCUCGAGGGUGGUAGGGGUAUGCGGAACUAUCGGUGGAGCGGUGAAAUGCGUUGAUAUCGAUAGGAACUCCGGUGGCGAAGGCGGCAUACUGGACCACUUCUGACGCUGAGGCGCGAAAGCCAGGGGAGCAAACGGGAUUAGAUACCCUUGUAGUCCCUGAGCGGGCUGGCAAGGCGCAU